rnacentral:lncRNA from 1 species
AUGAUUUUAGUUUUAAUUUUGUUGAUAAUAUUGGGGCAGUACCUUCUUCAUCCAUGGUGUUUGAUAAUUCUGUCCAGCAGCAAGAGGCACAGGAGCAACCUUACAAAUUGGACUCCAAUAUUUGGUAAAGAGCCGAGCAACGUAACUACGUACGUACGUUAUAAUUAAUUACUCUUUAGUAGAGGCACAGGAGCAACCGUACAAAUUGGACUCCAAUAUUUGGUGAAGAGCCGAAGAACGUAACUACGUACGUACGUACGUUAUUAUUAGUCUUUAGUAGUCACAACUAACUACAGCUUUGUAAAGAAGGAGUUGAAACUUGAAACCAACCAAGACUAUUUGAUGGAAUUAAUGCUUUUAGAUAUAUUUUUACUGUAUAUGUUGCAGCAAGUCCAUAUAUAGAGACAAAAAUAAGUCAAAACCGUGGUAAGUUUAUGUUAUUUAUUCUUUGAUUGACAUGGGAAAAUCCCUAGUCUAGUACUUAUAUCUUUUUUUCGCAA